UACGGAGGGAGCUAGCGUUGUUCGGAAUUACUGGGCGUAAAGCGCACGUAGGCGGCUUUGUAAGUUAGAGGUGAAAGCCCGGGGCUCAACCCCGGAAUUGCCUUUAAGACUGCAUCGCUUGAAUCCAGGAGAGGUGAGUGGAACUGCGAGUGUAGAGGUGAAAUUCGUAGAUAUUCGCAAGAACACCAGUGGCGAAGGCGGCUCACUGGCCCGUAACUGACGCUGAGGCACGAAAGCGUGGGGAGCAAACAGG
rnacentral:rRNA from 1 species